rnacentral:rRNA from 1 species
CACAUGCAAGUCGAACGGUAACAGGAAGCAGCUUGCUGCUUYGCUGACGAGUGGCGGACGGGUGAGUAAUGUCUGGGAAACUGCCUGAUGGAGGGGGAUAACUACUGGAAACGGUGGCUAAUACCGCAUAACGUCGCAAGACCAAAGAGGGGGACCUUCGGGCCUCUUGCCAUCAGAUGUGCCCAGAUGGGAUUAGCUUGUUGGUGAGGUAACGGCUCACCAAGGCGACGAUCCCUAGCUGGUCUGAGAGGAUGACCAGCCACACUGGAACUGAGACACGGUCCAGACUCCUACGGGAGGCAGCAGUGGGGAAUAUUGCACAAUGGGCGCAAGCCUGAUGCAGCCAUGCCGCGUGUAUGAAGAAGGCCUUCGGGUUGUAAAGUACUUUCAGCGGGGAGGAAGGU